UAGUNAAGAAAUUUGCUAAGUGAUUGUUUCCAUAUUCGGGGAAACCUAGGUUGAGGAAAAUAAACAUAGUAGGUAAUCCUGAGCCAAAUUUUGUUUCCUUUACAAAAUAGGUGCAGAGACUCAAAGGAAACUAUCCAAACAAAAAUAAAUUAUUUAUUAAUUAUUAGUUCGUUCUACGAUGAAUUUUUAUAUUAAUAUAUAUUAAAAUAUAUACAUAUGAUAUAAGGAUAAAGAUAGAGUCCAUUUUUACACGCUAUAUUUGGCAACGAUGUGAGUCAUUGUAAAAAGAAAAUCCGUUGGCUUUUUAGACCGUGAGGGUUCAAGUCCCUC
rnacentral:tRNA from 1 species